CUUGUCGCAUGACGGUGUGAAACGUUGCAAGAAAAUAUUAUCGCAGCUUUAUAUUCAUAUACACAACAGUAGUGUGUUCUCUACAGUAGUGCGACAAAGAAAUAGCAUUGUCACAAAAGAAAUAUUGAGACUAAUAUAUUGGGGAUCGCUUUAUUUAUCUGCAUUAUUU